AUGAACGGGCCAAAACGGACAUGGCAGCAGGUCAAAAUCAAAUACAAGAACAUUCUGCAGAAUGCAGUGAAAAAGAAUACCCACAGACAAGGCACGGGUGGUGGGUCACCAAAGGCUGACCUUACCCCAGCAGAGGACAUGGCCUUGGAGCUAAAUAAAGGCAGGCCCGUCUUAGAGGGGAUCCCUGGGGGGAAAGAGACGAGCAUAGGUUCCUCCCAAGAUGCCACCCGCUUCAUUCAAGUGUCUGGCAGCACUGUGUUCCUGUUAGAGCCACCAGCACAAGCACCAGACGAUGCUGAUCCAGGUGAAAGCCCCAGUGCAGCAGCAACAGCACAUGAUGGAGACGAUGAUGAGGAGGAGACCAUCUCUGUGGAUUCCAGAAGGCAUGAGGACCCAGAUGCUAUACAGUGGGAAAACCAGCCUGGCAACAUAAGCUCACAAGCUAUCAGAAAGUUGUAUGGCAACCACCUCCGGCGCCAAAUAGAACUGGCAGACAUAGACAUUCAGUACAAGAAGAAAAAGAUAGAAAAUCUUGCACUGGAGUCCGAAAUAAAAAAGAGGACAAUUAGGAAACUGGACCUUGAAAUAAAAAAACUUGAGAGGGAGCUCCAAGAAGAUGACACAGCUCAAAAUAAAAAUUAG
ensembl:lncRNA